rnacentral:rRNA from 1 species
UACGGGGGGGGCAAGCGUUGUUCGGAAUUACUGGGCGUAAAGGGCGCGUAGGCGGCGCAGAAAGUAGGGUGUGAAAGCCCUCGGCUCAACCGAGGAAUUGCGCUCUAAACUACUGUGCUUGAGGAAGCUAGAGGUGAGCAGAACAGAUGGUGGAGCGGUGAAAUGCGUUGAUAUCAUCUGGAAUACCGGAGGCGAAGGCGGCUCACUGGGGCUUUUCUGACGCUGAGGAACGAAAGCCAGGGUAGCGAACGGG